rnacentral:rRNA from 1 species
CGCGUAGGCGGUUGACCAAGUUGGGGGUGAAAGCCCGGGGCUUAACCUCGGAAUUGCCUCCAAAACUGGUCGGCUUGAGUGUGGAAGAGGGUUGUGGAAUUCCCAGUGUAGAGGUGAAAUUCGUAGAUAUUGGGAAGAGCACCAGUGGCGAAGGCGACAACCUGGUCCAUUACUGACGCUGAGGCGCGACAGCGUGGGGAGCAAACA